rnacentral:rRNA from 1 species
GAUGAACGCUAGCUACAGGCUUAACACAUGCAAGUCGCGGGGCAGCAUGGGGGUUGCUUGCAACCCCUGAUGGCGACCGGCGUACGGGUGAGUAACGCGUAUCCAACUUGCCCUUCACCACGGGACAACCCGGCGAAAGUCGGACUAAUACCGUAUGUUGUCCAUUGACGGCAUCCGAUUUGGUCGAAAUGCUUGGUGGCGAAAGGGCGAGGAUGCGUCUGAUUAGCUUGACGGCGGGGUAACGGCCCGCCGUGUCUACGGUCGGUAGGGGUUCUGAGGGGAGGGUCCCCCACACUGGGACUGGGACCCGGUGCAGACUCCUACGGGACGCAGCCGUGAGGAAUAUUGGUCAAUGGGAGAAAGCCUGAACCACCCAAGUAGCGUGCAGGAUGACGGCCCUAUGGGUUGUAACCUGCUUUUAUGCGGGGAUAAAGUGGCCCAAGUGUGGGCUUUUGCAGGUACCGCGUGAAUAAGGACCGGCUAAUUCCGUG